UACGUGGGGUGCAAGCGUUAUCCGGAUUUAUUGGGCGUAAAGAGUUCGUAGGCCGUUUAUCAAGUUUCGUUUGAAAGACCAAGGCUUAACCUUGGGAACGGGCGGAAAACUGAUAGACUUGAGUCUGCUAGGGGGUACUGGAACUGACAGUGUAGCAGUGAAAUGCGUUGAUAUUGUUAGGAACACCAAGGGCGAAGGCAGGUACCUGGGGCACGACUGACGCUGAGGAACGAAAGCCAGAGGAGCGAAACGG
rnacentral:rRNA from 1 species